UGGCGCUCUGAACCUCCAAUAUCGAUUGGAGAGUAAACAUUGCCUGAUGGAUCGUCCUCAACAUGGCCAAAAUAAAUGUUUUGAGGUGAUUUUCAGGAUGUUUUGUGGUACCGAAGACCAAUACAAUAUAACAAGAGUUUUCGAAUCUUUAUCCUAUCUGCAGCACCUUAUCUGAGACGGGCGUUCUGAUCCUCUUUGUGCAGGACGAUAGAUGCCAGUGCCACCCAUCCCUCAUUACCAGGAGAUCGUGUGUGAUUUAUGUUAGUGAGCUGUGCGAUAAUAUAAAAAUGGUGAGAGUUGACUCAUUCACAGUGGAGGAAAUAAUCUCAUAGUGAACAAUGAUUAUAUUACCUGAACGUGGUUUCUGUGUAAAGACCUGACCACACGUUGUUCUGAAGACUCGGUUCCUGACGAAUAAGUGCAACUGACGAGGUACAGUCCAUAACGGGCAUAACCGAAGUGCCUAGCUGGUAGCCACUUAACUCUUAUUAGAACCAGUUAACUCUUAACUCCACGGUGUAUUUUUGUUUUCCAUUGUUCUCUAGUAUCGGAAUCCUUGUUAUUUAUUACGCUUCUUGAUAACAAUAACGCCUCUAUUACAUUUACAGUGAUUCACUUUCGAUAUGAGCUCUCAGUUGUAGGAGUUAUCCCUUUAUCUUUAAAUGGAUGUUGGAGUAAUUAUUGAGUCAACAACACGAUGUCUGCCAGGCUGGACGUGUCUGGAAACUAUGGAACCUUUAGAGUGGUAUAUAAAGGGCGGGAGACUCCGGUAAAGCCACACUCAUCUCUACGUUCCUGAAUCAUGAUGGCCUGCAGAACGCUGUGCUUGGUGGUGGUGAUGGUGGCGUCCUUGGGGACCUCUGGAGUCGGUGGACGGUCUGUAGAAGGAGCAUCAAGGAUGGAGAAGCUUCUCUCCUCGUCCAAUUCGCCGUCGUCUACGCCUCUAGGUUUCCUGUCGCAGGAUCACAGCGUCAACAAACGUCAGGUGUUCGACCAGGCGUGUAAGGGCGUGUAUGACCGCAACCUCUUCAAGAAGCUGGACCGUGUGUGUGAGGACUGUUACAACCUCUACCGCAAACCUUUCGUCGCCACCACCUGCAGGCAAAACUGUUUUGAGCGCGACAUCUUUCCAAUGUGUGUGGUGGACCUUGGACUCGACUUUGAGCUGUACCUCGAGAUCAGGGAUAUGAUCAAGGGGUAGACUCACACUCAAGUCUCUACUUUAAGUGGUUGGUGAGGAGGAAGGAGGUGUACAAGAUGGGAGAACUGCUACAGUAAUUGGGUGUUCCGUCAAUGUCUCGACGACCUACUCUUGAGUGAUGUGAUCGACGAGUACGUCUCCAACGUCCAGAUGGUCGGCAAGUAAACAAACACCUCAGCCAACCCCAGACAGUUCCCGCUGCGUCUACCGGUCCCCAUGGGCGUCCACGAACGUCUUUUUGGACACCGACGGAUGCCUUCGAACUUCCUGGGAACGUCUCUGAUGCCCCGAGUGUAAUAAUCAGCUCUUAUCGUCACUGUACUAUCCUCCUCUUCCUCGAUGCCAUGGCAGCUUUUACUGGUAUUGUUUUUUCAUUAAUGCGUAUAUAACUUAUGUACCUUAAAAUGUAAUGUAAGUAUUUAUUUGAGGGAGAUAAUGUAGUGGUUGGUGCAGCUGGGACAAGGGUUUGAAGCCUCGAGUCUCCCACAGUCCGACAUUUCAUUGCUAGUCAUAACUAUUAGUGGAGAUAUUUUUAUACGAUACGAGGGAUGUGUGGCGUUAGUUAGGCACUCCUGAGAGUCGUCGGUACCUCACACCCAACACACAUCCUUCCUUGCCAACACAAACACUUAACUAACACAUCACAUCACAUCAUUAACACAAGAUAAAGUAGAAUAAUCCUCUUACUUCAGUUCCUUCUUCAGUAGUGACGUUUAAACAAGUCUUUAACUAUCACGUCUACAGGGAGUAAAUAUCACGGUAGCUAAUGAACUGUAGAGAAUCCCCCAUCACCCUCACCUCCACCUGCGUGAUACCUGAGAAUCUCAUUUGUCCUCAACCAAAGAUUAAUAUAUUAAGUGGAUACACCUGUUGCCGUAGAGGGGAGGGAUGCAAUGUCUACCAAGAUGAAUUAUAUAUGAAUAAAAAUUACAUGAUGUG